rnacentral:rRNA from 1 species
UACGGGGGGGGCAAGCGUUGUUCGGAAUUACUGGGCGUAAAGGGCUCGUAGGCGGCCAACUAAGUCAGACGUGAAAUCCCCAGGCUCAACCUGGGAACUGCGUCUGAUACUGGAUGGCUUGAAUCCGGGAGAGGGAUGCAGAAUUCCAGGUGUAGCGGUGAAAUGCGUAGAUAUCUGGAGGAAUACCGGUGGCGAAGGCGGCAUCCUGGACCGGCAUUGACGCUGAGGCACGAAGGUCAGGGGAGCAAACGGG